GUCGGCCUGGCGUCAUCGUGAUCUUGUCUUGCUCUGUGCUGACUUUAUUCCUGCCCUGCCAUAGUUUCCUGCUUCAUGCCAUGCCAACAUAAAAGGGGAGAGGGAGGAGUAAUCGUGGCAGAAGUAGAAGGAGAGAGACAAACAACCAGACGAGCGAACAGACGAGCGAGAACCCCAGGGAGCCACGGAGCGACAAAGACCAGCACAGGAAGACUGGCGACUGAAAAGGAGACCGGCACGAGCAGAGAAGGAGGCACUGAAAUAGCGACCGCCUGACUGCGAGCGACUUUCUGUUUGCAAUAAUAAAGACUCAAACCUGUGCAAAGCGAUGUCCUCCGUUGAUGAUCCAUGCAACCCACACGAUGGCGGCAGGAAGCCGUUUAUAGUCAGCUUGAAUUUGGCCUCAACAGCCAGCAGCUUGCUGUCCACCAACAUCCGUCACACUUCCACCGCCAGGACCAACUUUGACCUCAGAGAGCGAGACUCUUGCUGGGCAAAUAAAGUAUCGGACAUGUGACUCCUGGCCUUGCAGGGUCGCCACACUCAGGUGCGCAGGUCGUCGCUGUGACG